GUUUUCUUUUUUUUUUUUCUAGAGAGCAUGGCAAUGACAAAGGUACAUAAAGACAUAGCUGUGUUCAUGGUUCAGCUGGCAAGCAACAACCAAGUCUCAGAGCAGCAGAUGGUGAGGGAGAUCGCAGACAAAACCAGAGACUUGCUACAGCAGCUAAGGUCUGUAGCCACCGUAACGACCCCUGAAGGCAAGCAAAUGGUGAGCGUCGAGUAUCUCAAAGAGAGGAAUCUGCCGCCUGCGCUCGACAAUUUUCUCUUCAACCUCGCUGUGGCAGAGAACCUCAUCAUGCUCUGAGUGAUCAGCCAGCAUGGUACAACCCAGACAUAUCACACAGAAGAGAAGCUCUAUUUCAAGCAGUAUUUUUGAAUACGUUACAUGAAUUUCAGCUGUAGAUGCCCAUCUCAUGAACUGCAUCGUUCGAGAGUGAACGGCUUUACAAAGUGUUUGGUGAUGUUCAGUAUACAUAAAAGGCACACAUAUAUAUAUAUAUUUGUUAGAAGCAAAUAAAUGAUUUAUGAUUA